rnacentral:tRNA from 1 species
GGCCUCAUGGUGCAAUGGUAGCACGUCCGGGAAAUGACCAGGUAACCUGCGUUCGAUUCGUAGGGAGGCCA